rnacentral:rRNA from 1 species
AGUGGCGAACGGGUGAGUAUCGCGUUGGUGACCUGCCCCGAAGUCUGGAAUAACAGUUCGAAAGGACUGCUAAUACCGGAUGUGGUCAUCGGAUUUAGAAACCGAUGACUAAAGGAUUUAUUCGCUUCGGGAGGGGCCUGCGUCCCAUCAGCUAGUUGGUAGGGUAACGGCUUACCAAGGCGACGACGGGUAGGGGACCUGAGAGGGUGGCCCCCCACACUGGAACUGAAACACGGUCCAGACACCUACGGGUGGCAGCAGUAGGGAAUAUUGCACAAUGGGCGAAAGCCUGAUGCAGCAACGCCGCGUGUGCGAUGAAGGCCUUCGGGUCGUAAAGCACUUUUCGGGAGGAUGAGAAAGGACAGUACUCCCGGAAUAAGUCUCGGCUAACUACGUGCCAGCAGCCGCGGUAACACGUAGGAGGCAAGCGUUAUCCGGAUUUACUGGGCGUAAAGCGCGUGCAGGUGGUUUGGUAAGUUGGAUGUGAAAUCUCCCGGCUCAACUGGGAGAGGUCGUUCAAAACUGCCAAACUAGAGGACGGUAGAGGAAAGUGGAAUUCCCGGUGUAGUGGUGAAAUGCGUAGAUAUCGGGAGGAACACCAGUGGCGAAAGCGACUUUCUGGCCCGUUCCUGACACUAAGACGCGAAAGCUAGGGUAGCAAACGGGAUUAGAGACCCC